UAGCUUAGUGGUAAAGUACCUGCUUAGCAUGCAUGAGGCCCUGGGUUCAAUCCCCAG
rnacentral:tRNA from 1 species